rnacentral:rRNA from 1 species
UGCACAAUGGGCGGAAGCCUGAUGCAGCAACGCCGCGUGAGGGAUGACGGCCUUCGGGUUGUAAACCUCUUUUAGCAAGGAAGAAGCGAAAGUGACGGUACUUGCAGAAAAAGCGCCGGCUAACUACGUGCCAGCAGCCGCGGUAAUACGUAGGGCGCAAGCGUUAUCCGGAAUUAUUGGGCGUAAAGAGCUCGUAGGCGGUUUGUCGCGUCUGCUGUGAAAUCCCGAGGCUCAACCUCGGGCCUGCAGUGGGUACGGGCAGACUAGAGUGCGGUAGGGGAGAUUGGAAUUCCUGGUGUAGCGGUGGAAUGCGCAGAUAUCAGGAGGAACACCGAUGGCGAAGGCAGAUCUCUGGGCCGUAACUGACGCUGAGGAGCGAAAGGGUGGGGAGCAAACAGGCUUAGAUACCCUGGUAGUCCACCCCGUAAACGUUGGGAACUAGUUGUGGGGUCCUUUCCACGGAUUCCGUGACGCAGCUAACGCAUUAAGUUCCCCGCCUGGGGAGUACGGCCGCAAGGCUAAAACUCAAAGGAU